rnacentral:rRNA from 1 species
GAUAAACGCUGGCGGCGUGCCUAAUACAUGCAAGUCGAGCGAACGGACGAGAAGCUUGCUUCUCUGAUGUUAGCGGCGGACGGGUGAGUAACACGUGGAUAACCUACCUAUAAGACUGGGAUAACUUCGGGAAACCGGAGCUAAUACCGGAUAAUAUUUUGAACCGCAUGGUUCAAAAGUGAAAGACGGUCUUGCUGUCACUUAUAGAUGGAUCCGCGCUGCAUUAGCUAGUUGGUAAGGUAACGGCUUACCAAGGCAACGAUGCAUAGCCGACCUGAGAGGGUGAUCGGCCACACUGGAACUGAGACACGGUCCAGACUCCUACGGGAGGCAGCAGUAGGGAAUCUUCCGCAAUGGGCGAAAGCCUGACGGAGNCACGCCGCGUGAGUGAUGAAGGUCUUCGGAUCGUAAAACUCUGUUAUUAGGGAAGAACAUAUGUGUAAGUAACUGUGCACAUCUUGACGGUACCCUAUCAGAAAGCCACGGCUAACUACGUGCCAGCAGCCGCGGUAAUACGUAGGUGGGCAGCGUUAUCCGGAANUUAUGGGCGUAAAGCGCGCGUAGGCGGUUUUUUAGUCUGAUGUGAAAGCCCACGGCUCAACCGUGGAGGGUCAUUGGAAACUGGAAAACUUGAGUGCAGAAGAGGAAAGUGGAAUUCCAUGUGUAGCGGUGAAAUGCGCAGAGAUAUGGAGGAACACCAGUGGCGAAGGCGACUUUCUGGUCUGUAACUGACGCUGAUGUGCGAAAGCGUGGGGAUCAAACAGGAUUAGAUACCCUGGUAGUCCACGCCGUAAACGAUGAGUGCUAAGUGUUAGGGGGUUUCCGCCCCUUAGUGCUGCAGCUAACGCAUUAAGCACUCCGCCUGGGGAGUACGACCGCAAGGUUGAAACUCAAAGGAAUUGACGGGGACCCGCACAAGCGGUGGAGCAUGUGGUUUAAUUCGAAGCAACGCGAAGAACCUUACCAAAUCUUGACAUCCUUUGACAACUCUAGAGAUAGAGCCUUCCCCUUCGGGGGACAAAGUGACAGGUGGUGCAUGGUUGUCGUCAGCUCGUGUCGUGAGAUGUUGGGUUAAGUCCCGCAACGAGCGCAACCCUUAAGCUUAGUUGCCAUCAUUAAGUUGGGCACUCUAAGUUGACUGCCGGUGACAAACCGGAGGAAGGUGGGGAUGGCGUCAAAUCAUCAUGCCCCUUAUGAUUUGGGCUACACACGUGCUACAAUGGACAAUACAAAGGGCAGCGAAACCGCGAGGUCAAGCAAAUCCCAUAAAGUUGUUCUCAGUUCGGAUUGUAGUCUGCAACUCGACUACAUGAAGCUGGAAUCGCUAGUAAUCGUAGAUCAGCAUGCUACGGUGAAUACGUUCCCGGGUCU